rnacentral:lncRNA from 1 species
AGGUCCUUGACGUUGUCUCUCUUUUCCUGUUUUUUGGGCGGAGUAAACCAGACGCGCGCUCUUUGAGUCGAUGAAGAAACAGAGAAGAGUCGAAGUGCUUAAGCGGCUGACAGAUCCAGAGCGGAUUAAUUUUGAGCUUCACGACUUAGUGACUAUGUGUCAUUGUGACUGUACUGUUUAGAUCAAAAUGUCUGGUAAAGCAAAUACUUCUAAGAAAAAAUCUCAACGGGUGAAAAGAAAUGUAAAACAAAGAGCCGAUAAAGAAGAUGAGGAAUUGGAUUCACCAGAGAAUAAGGUUGGAAACAGAGCGAAAAGAAACAGAAGUCAUGCAGGACAUCUGUCCUCUAAAGAACAAACAAAAUGUGUUCAUCUAAAACGGGUGAAAAUAUCAUCCAACAAGAGAACAGCCUGGCAACCUCUUCCAAAGAAUACUGAAGAGUAUUUGCAAAGUAUGAUGGACUCAGCAAUUCUUGGAAUUUUAAACAAAAACAUUAAAAGAAAAGAACAAAUUCAGUAUCAUCUCGACCAGUUGAAGAAAAGAUUUCUGCAACAGUGUGCAACACUGAAAGUCCCCCCAGGAAAGCUCAACUAUUUAAGAGAUAUGUCAAAGCUGCUGAAGGUGGAAAGGGAACAGGAAAGGGCGAAUGAGGAGAGCCUGGCUUCACUGCAGG